UACGUAGGGUGCAAGCGUUGUCCGGAAUUAUUGGGCGUAAAGAGCUCGUAGGCGGUCUGUCGCGUCGGCUGUGAAAACCCGAGGCUCAACCUCGGGCCUGCAGUCGAUACGGGCAAACUAGAGUACUGCAGGGGAGACUGGAAUUCCUGGUGAUAGCGGUGAAAUGCGCAGAGUAUCAGGAGGAACACCGGUGGCGAAGGCGGGUCUCUGGGCAGUAACUGACGCUGGAGGAGCGAAAGCGUCGGGGAGCGAACAGG
rnacentral:rRNA from 1 species